AUACCUUUCUUGGCCUUUUGGCUAAGAUCAAGUGUAGUAUCUGUUCUUAUCAGUUUAAUAUCUGAUAUGUGUAUACCAAUCGAUAGAUGACAAAUUUGAAGUAAAUUGUCGAUGAAUUGAUUUGGAAAAUUGAAUAUUAUAUUCAUUUUUCCAAAUCAAUUCAUCGACAAUUUAC
rfam:Helianthus annuus linkage group 3, whole genome shotgun sequence.